UAAAAUCCCAAACCAAAAGUUAAAGAGAUGCGAAGUUCUACUUACCAAUCGGUUAGAGAACCCAGAAAUCGCAGCAGCAAUGAUAGAAUAAGGGAUUCACAGACCGAAUCAAAGGGAAACGAAAUGAAGUUUACCGAAAAUGGAAAAAUGUCAGAAGAGGGAAAAGGAGAAAAUUUGACGUUAGAAAACUUUUGGGAAGAAAAAAUAAUAAAAAGAAAAAGAAAAUAGGAUUCGAAAUUCCUAAUAUAUCAACUUCCCAUUAUCCACUAACUAACCCACUACCCUAAGAAUUUUAAUUCCACCCAACCUCUAACUGACACUCGAAGCAAAAAUUAACACCAA
rnacentral:lncRNA from 1 species